rnacentral:rRNA from 1 species
AGAGUUUGAUCCUGGCUCAGAUUGAACGCUGGCGGAAUGCUUUACACAUGCAAGUCGAACGGUAGAGGGGGCAACCCCUUGAGAGUGGCGAACGGGUGAGUAAUAUAUCGGAACGUGCCCAGUCGUGGGGGAUAACGUAGCGAAAGUUACGCUAAUACCGCAUACGAUCUAAGGAUGAAAGCGGGGGAUCGCAAGACCUCGCGCGAUUGGAGCGGCCGAUAUCAGAUUAGGUAGUUGGUGGGGUAAAGGCUCACCAAGCCAACGAUCUGUAGCUGGUCUGAGAGGACGACCAGCCACACUGGAACUGAGACACGGUCCAGACUCCUACGGGAGGCAGCAGUGGGGAAUUUUGGACAAUGGACGCAAGUCUGAUCCAGCCAUUCCGCGUGCAGGAUGAAGGCCCUCGGGUUGUAAACUGCUUUUGUACGGAACGAAAAGGUUUCCAUUAAUACUGGGGGCUCAUGACGGUACCGUAAGAAUAAGCACCGGCUAACUACGUGCCAGCAGCCGCGGUAAUACGUAGGGUGCAAGCGUUAAUCGGAAUUACUGGGCGUAAAGCGUGCGUAGGCGGUUAUGUAAGACAGAGGUGAAAUCCCCGGGCUCAACCUGGGAACUGCCUUUGUGACUGCAUAGCUAGAGUACGGUAGAGGGGGAUGGAAUUCCGCGUGUAGCAGUGAAAUGCGUAGAUAUGCGGAGGAACACCGAUGGCGA